rnacentral:rRNA from 1 species
CAGUCGCCGCGGGAAUACGGAGGGUGCAAGCGUUAAUCGGAAUUACUGGGCGUAAAGCGCACGCAGGCGGUCUGACAAGUCAGAUGUGAAAUCCCCGGGCUUAACCUGGGAACUGCAUUUGAAACUGUCAGGCUGGAGUCUUGUAGAGGGGGGUGGAAUUCCAGGUGUAGCGGUGAAAUGCGUAGAGAUCUGGAGGAAUACCGGUGGCGAAGGCGGCCCCCUGGACAAAGACUGACGCUCAGGUGCGAAAGCGUGGGGAGCAAACAGGAUUAGAUACCCGAGUAGUCCCUGUCUCUUAUAC